rnacentral:rRNA from 2 species
AUUAAUUUGAGAGUUUGAUCCUGGCUCAGGACGAACGCUGGCGGCGUGCCUAAUACAUGCAAGUCGAACGAACUCUGGUAUUGAUUGGUGCUUGCAUCAUGAUUUACAUUUGAGUGAGUGGCGAACUGGUGAGUAACACGUGGGAAACCUGCCCAGAAGCGGGGGAUAACACCUGGAAACAGAUGCUAAUACCGCAUAACAACUUGGACCGCAUGGUCCGAGCUUGAAAGAUGGCUUCGGCUAUCACUUUUGGAUGGUCCCGCGGCGUAUUAGCUAGAUGGUGGGGUAAUGGCUCACCAUGGCAAUGAUACGUAGCCGACCUGAGAGGGUAAUCGGCCACAUUGGGACUGAGACACGGCCCAAACUCCUACGGGAGGCAGCAGUAGGGAAUCUUCCACAAUGGACGAAAGUCUGAUGGAGCAACGCCGCGUGAGUGAAGAAGGGUUUCGGCUCGUAAAACUCUGUUGUUAAAGAAGAACAUAUCUGAGAGUAACUGUUCAGGUAUUGACGGUAUUUAACCAGAAAGCCACGGCUAACUACGUGCCAGCAGCCGCGGUAAUACGUAGGUGGCAAGCGUUGUCCGGAUUUAUUGGGCGUAAAGCGAGCGCAGGCGGUUUUUUAAGUCUGAUGUGAAAGCCUUCGGCUCAACCGAAGAAGUGCAUCGGAAACUGGGAAACUUGAGUGCAGAAGAGGACAGUGGAACUCCAUGUGUAGCGGUGAAAUGCGUAGAUAUAUGGAAGAACACCAGUGGCGAAGGCGGCUGUCUGGUCUGUAACUGACGCUGAGGCUCGAAAGUAUGGGUAGCAAACAGGAUUAGAUACCCUGGUAGUCCAUACCGUAAACGAUGAAUGCUAAGUGUUGGAGGGUUUCCGCCCUUCAGUGCUGCAGCUAACGCAUUAAGCAUUCCGCCUGGGGAGUACGGCCGCAAGGCUGAAACUCAAAGGAAUUGACGGGGGCCCGCACAAGCGGUGGAGCAUGUGGUUUAAUUCGAAGCUACGCGAAGAACCUUACCAGGUCUUGACAUACUAUGCAAAUCUAAGAGAUUAGACGUUCCCUUCGGGGACAUGGAUACAGGUGGUGCAUGGUUGUCGUCAGCUCGUGUCGUGAGAUGUUGGGUUAAGUCCCGCAACGAGCGCAACCCUUAUUAUCAGUUGCCAGCAUUAAGUUGGGCACUCUGGUGAGACUGCCGGUGACAAACCGGAGGAAGGUGGGGAUGACGUCAAAUCAUCAUGCCCCUUAUGACCUGGGCUACACACGUGCUACAAUGGAUGGUACAACGAGUUGCGAACUCGCGAGAGUAAGCUAAUCUCUUAAAGCCAUUCUCAGUUCGGAUUGUAGGCUGCAACUCGCCUACAUGAAGUCGGAAUCGCUAGUAAUCGCGGAUCAGCAUGCCGCGGUGAAUACGUUCCCGGGCCUUGUACACACCGCCCGUCACACCAUGAGAGUUUGUAACACCCAAAGUCGGUGGGGUAACCUUUUAGGAACCAGCCGCCUAAGGUGGGACAGAUGAUUAGGGUGAAGUCGUAACAAGGUAGCCGUAGGAGAA